rnacentral:rRNA from 1 species
CCUACGGGAGGCAGCAGUGAGGAAUAUUGGUCAAUGGGCGCGAGCCUGAACCAGCCAAGUAGCGUGAAGGAUGACGGCCCUACGGGUUGUAAACUUCUGUUAUAAAGGAAUAAAGUGAGGCACGUGUGCCGUUUUGGAUGUACGUUAUGAAUAAGGAUCGGCUAACUCCGUGCCAGCAGCCGCGGUAAUACGGAGGAUCCGAGCGUUAUCCGGAUUUAUGGGGUUUAAAGGGAGCGUAGAUGGGUUGUUAAGUCAGUUGGGAAAGUUUGCGGCUCCACCGGAAAAUUGCAAUGGAUACUGGCAGCCUUGUGUACAGUUGAGGUCGGCGGUAUUCGUGGUGUCGCGG